AACACAACCCUUACAAAUUGUACAUUUAUCAAGAAUCUUUUGUAUGUUACAUAAGUAUGGAACAUGAAUUUGGAUUCAAAUAUUUGACCAAUCUUAUGAGAAAACAGACUUAAAGGGAAUUCUCUGAUUUAUUAUCUCUGAUACUAUUUUUUUUUUUAAGAAACUAUUAUAUUUUUAAAAGAGGAUCAAUAAUGACUUUUAAUAAUAUUCUUUCCAUAUGUUUUUACUUGCAAUUUCUAAAAAGAGAGAGAUAUUGUCAAAGGUGAUAUGGAAUUUAUAGAAGUGGUAUAUAUGUAAUAAAAUAUGAUGAUUAAAUAAUAUUUUCAUUCAUGCAUUAUACUAGUAUAAAUAGGAGAAGAGUUGACACCGACACACCAUCACUCACAACUCGAUCAAUUAAGCCAUGGCCAACCUUCCCCAAACCCUACUCUCCAUAGCCCUUCUCCUUGCCGCCGCUGCCAACACGGCGUGGUCCCAAACAACGUCCUUCACCUACGACUUCUGGGGCGACCAGCCGACCGAUCUCAUCUAUCAAGGCUCCGCCCAUUUCCCGUCCGACUCCACCUUCCUCCGCCUCACCGACUUCGAAACAUACCAGGUCGGCCGGGUCUUGUACUCGAAGCCGGUCCAGUUCUCCCAAGCCGGUGGCCAAGUCGACUUUGAAACCACCAUUAACUUCAUCAUCACACCCACUCCCGAGGACAAAACCGCUGACGGCCUCGCCUUCUUCAUGGGCCCAGUCGGCACCACCAUCCCCAGUGGCGCUGUUGGGGCCAACCUCGGAAUUUUCGGCUCCAACGGCAACAGCCCCUCGGUCUUCGCCGUCGAGUUCGACACCUUCAUCAACAGCCCGUGGGAUCCGAACUAUCCCCACAUCGGCAUCGACCUCGGAUCUAGGGAAUCCAGCAACACGACGAAUGUCGGAACCGCCAUAGUCGGACAGCAGGUGACUGCGCGGAUCAACUACGUCGGAGCCACGAAUAUGAUCACCGUCAGUGCCACCGCCGGCUCGAAGACGUUUGAGGUCAGUCUUAAGUACGAUUUGAGCCACUUUCUUCCUCAGCAAGUUCAGGUAGGGCUCUCCGCCGCCAGCGGACUAAACCAACCAUACGUCGCCAAACAUGAUAUUAUAUCAUGGUAUUUCACGGCCACCAUGGUGCAGACAAAUGCUGGCGCGUGGAGCAAGAAGGAGCUGGCCGGCAACAUUAUUCGUCAAUUUGUGUGAUUUUGAGAUGUGUGUGUGUCGUAAAUAAAUAAGGACUAAGCGAUCGAGUCUGCUCUCGUUAAGUCUAGAAAUAAGAUACUCGACCAUCUCUAUGUACGGACUAUGCAACAAUGCUUUUGGGUGUCGUUCUCGUUUUAUGAUCUUUGCAAGGUUAUCUAUGGAAGAUUUAUUAAGGACUUUUAUCGACCAGUUGGAAUACUGUAUAUGAAGCAAGUUAAUUCUUGUUAAUCCAACAAUAGUGAAUCCUACGCAACAAAGUAAUUCUCACACAGCCUGUGCCUUCAUCGUGAUUUAUUAGGAUCUCAAAAGGAUCGAUGUGCGACUAUUAGCACUAAUUGAAUGUGACUUCAAAGUAAAUAAUCAUCUAUAUAACUCAUUGUUGGUGGCAGACAAAACCCAUUAAGUGGGAGACAUCACUUUUCUGCUUUUACUUUUUGCUUUUCCUUUGUUGACUUCUUUGUCGUAGUUGUUAGGGGGUGUGUGGUCGAUUAUUCAUUCCUUGAGAAAAUUGAGACGAGAAAAAAGAGAGCAGAGAGAGCUGUGAGAGAAAAACUCUUGCAGAGAGAUUGGGGCGUGAUAUACACGAGAGAUUGUGAGGGUUUUUCCAGCGUGGGUUUGAGAGUGUACGAGAGUGAGAGGUUGAUCUCAUCUUGGGUGUAAUUCUCGAUUCAUUGUGUGACGAGUUCGCGGGUUGUGCGAAUCGUCGGAGUUCUUCAAUACUACGAUUGGUGUUGCUCCCAUGGAC
rnacentral:lncRNA from 1 species